GACGAACGCUGGCGGCGUGCUUAACACAUGCAAGUCGAACGGAAAGGCCCUGCUUUUGUGGGGUGCUCGAGUGGCGAACGGGUGAGUAACACGUGAGUAACCUGCCCUUGACUUUGGGAUAACUUCAGGAAACUGGGGCUAAUACCGGAUAGGAGCUCCUGCUGCAUGGUGGGGGUUGGAAAGUUUCGGCGGUUGGGGAUGGACUCGCGGCUUAUCAGCUUGUUGGUGGGGUAGUGGCUUACCAAGGCUUUGACGGGUAGCCGGCCUGAGAGGGUGACCGGCCACAUUGGAAUGAGGAAACGGCCCGGACUCCUAGGGGGGGCAGCGGUGGGAAAAUUGGCAAAAGGGGCGGAGGCCGGAGGCAGCAACGCCGGGUGGGGAAUGACGGCCUUCGGGUUUUAACCGCUUUCGCCUGUGACGAAGCGUGAGUGACGGUAAUGGGUAAAGAAGCACCGGCUAACUACGUG
rnacentral:rRNA from 1 species